UAAUUAUAUUGUUCUAUUAUGCCCAGACAGUGUAAUUUUGGAACGAAUCGAUGUCAACGCUCACAAGAAUAAAAACCGGAACAACAUUAGACUACUCAGUCGCGCCCUAACAGUAUAACUUUGCAACGAGUACUUUUUCUCAUUUUAUCGAAGAAAGCGUCAAACCUAAUUAUAUUGUUCUAUAAUGCCCAGAGAGUGUAAAUUUGGAACGAAUCGAUAUCAACACUCACAAAAAUAAAAACCGGAACAACAUUUGAGUACUCAGUUGUGCCUCUAACAGGUAUAACUUUUUGCAACCAGUACUUUAUUCUCAUUUUUUUGAAGUAAGCGGCCAAAACUAAUUUAUAUUGUAUUCUAUUUAGCCCCAGAGAGCUUGUAAAUUUCUGGAACGAAUUGAUGUCAACGCUCCACAAGAACAAAAACUGGAACAAAAUUAGGCUACUUAGUUGCGCCCUAACAGUAUAACUUUGCAACGAGUGCUUUUUCACAUUUUAUCGAAGAAAGCGUCAAACCUAAUUAUAUUGCUCUAUAAUGCCCAGAGAGUGUAAAUUUGGAACGAAUCGAUAUCAACACUCACAAAAAUAAAAACCGGAACAACAUUUGAGCACUCAGUUGUGUGCCCUUAACAGGUAUAACUUUUGCAACCAGUACUUUUUCUUCAUUUUAUCGAAAGUAAUGCGUCAAAACUAAUUUAUAUUAUGUCUCUUUUACGCCCAGAAGAGAGUAAAUCUGGAACGGAAUCGAUGUCAACGCUCACAAGAACAAAAACUGGAACAAAAUUAGGCUACUUAGUUGCGCCCUAACAGUAUAACUUUGCAACGAGUGCUUUUUCACAUUUUAUCGAAGAAAGCGUCAAACCUAAUUAUAUUGCUCUAUAAUGCCCAGAGAGUGUAAAUUUGGAACGAAUCGAUAUCAACACUCACAAAAAUAAAAACCGGAACAACAUUUGAGUACUCAGUUGCGCCUUAACAGUAUAACUUUGCAACCAGUACUUUUUCUCAUUUUAUCGAAGUAAGCGUCAAACCUAAUUAUAUUAUUCUAUUAUGCCCAGAGAGUGUAAAUUUGGAACGAUUCGAUGUCAACGCUCACAAGAACAAAAACCGGAACAACAUUAGACUCUUCAGUUGCACCCUAACAGUAUAACUUUGCAACGCGUACUUUUUCUCGUUUUAUCGAAGAAAGCGUAAAAUCUAAUUAUAUUGUUGUAUUAUGCCCAGAUAGUGUAAAUUUGGAACGAAUCGAUGUCAACGCUCACAAGAACAAAAACCGGAACAACAUUAGAGCACUCAGUUCCGCCAUAACAGUAUAACUUUGCAACGAGUGCUUUUUUUCAUUUUAUCGAAGAAAGCGUAAAACCUAGUUAUAUUAUUCUAUUAUGCCCAGAGAGUGUAAAUUUGGAACGAAUCGAUUUCAACGCUCACAAGAACAAAAACCGGAACAACAUUAGACUACUCAGUUGCGCCCUAACAGUAUAACUUUGCAACGAGUACUUUUUCUCAUUUAUCGAAGAAAGCGUCAAACCUAAUUAUAUUGUUCUAUCUUGCCCAGAGAGUGUAAAUUUGGAACGAAUCGAUGUCAAAGCUCACAAGAACAAAAAUCGGAUCAAUAUUAGACUACUCAGUUGCGCCCUAACAGUAUAACUUUGCAACGAGUGCUUUUUCUCAUUUUAUCGAAGAAAGCGUAAAUCUAAUUAUAUUGUUCUAUUAUACCUAGAGAGUGUAAAAUUGGAACGAACUGAUGUGAGCGCUCACAAGAACAAAAACCGGAUCAAUAUUAGACUACUCAGUUCCGCCCUAACAGUAUAACUUUGCAACGAGUACUUUUUCUCAUUUAUCGAAGAAAGCGUCAAACCUAAUUAUAUUGUUCUAUUAUGCCCAGAGAGUGUAAAUUUGGAACGAAUCGAUUUUAAAGCUCACAAGAACAAAAACCGGAACAAUAUUAGACAACUCAGUUGCGCCCGAACAGUAUAACUUUGCAACGAGUGCUUUUUCUCAUUUUAUCGAAGAAAGCGUCAAACCUCAUUAUAUUGUUCUAUUAUGCCGAGAGAGUGUAAAUUUGGAACGAAUCGAUGUCAACGCUCACAAGAACAAAAACCGGAACAACAUUAGACUCUUCAGUUGCACCCUAACAGUAUAACUUUGCAACGCGUACUUUUUCUCGUUUUAUCGAAGAAAGCGUAAAAUCUAAUUAUAUUGUUGUAUUAUGCCCAGAUAGUGUAAAUUUGGAACGAAUCGAUGUCAACGCUCACAAGAACAAAAACCGGAACAACAUUAGAGCACUCAGUUCCGCCAUAACAGUAUAACUUUGCAACGAGUGCUUUUUUUCAUUUUAUCGAAGAAAGCGUAAAACCUAGUUAUAUUAUUCUAUUAUGCCCAGAGAGUGUAAAUUUGGAACGAAUCGAUUUCAACGCUCACAAGAACAAAAACCGGAACAACAUUAGACUACUCAGUUGCGCCCUAACAGUAUAACUUUGCAACGAGUACUUUUUCUCAUUUUAUCGAAGAAAGCGUAAAAUCUAAUUAUAUUGUUCUAUUAUUCCCAGAUAGUGUAAAUUUGGAACGAAUUGAUGUCAACGCUCACAAGAACAAAAACCGGAACAACUUUAGACUACUCAGUUGCGCCUAACAGUAUAACUUUGCAACGAGUACUUUUUCUCAUUUUAUCGAAGAAAGCGUCAAAACUAAUUAUAUUGUUCUAUUACGCCCAGAGAGUGUAAAUUUGGAACGAAUUGAUGUCAACGCUCACAAGAACAAAAACUGGAACAAAAUUAGGCUACUUAGUUGCGCCCUAACAGUAUAACUUUGCAACGAGUGCUUUUUCACAUUUUAUCGAAGAAAGCGUCAAACCUAAUUAUAUUGCUCUAUAAUGCCCAGAGAGUGUAAAUUUGGAACGAAUCGAUAUCAACACUCACAAAAAUAAAAACCGGAACAACAUUUGAGUACUCAGUUGCGCCUUAACAGUAUAACUUUGCAACCAGUACUUUUUCUCAUUUUAUCGAAGUAAGCGUCAAACCUAAUUAUAUUAUUCUAUUAUGCCCAGAGAGUGUAAAUCUGGAACGAAUCGAUGUCAACGCUCACAAGAACAAAAACCGGAACAACAUUAGACUACUCAGUUGCGCCAUAACAAUAUAACUUUGCAACGAGUACUUUUUCUUAUUUUAUCGAAGAAAGCGUAAAUCCUAAUUAUAUUAUUCUAUUAUGCCCAGAGAGAGUAAAUUUAGAACCAAUCGAUGUCAACGCUCACAAGAACAAAAAUCGGAACAACAAUAGACUACUCAGUUGCACCCUAACAGUAUAACUUUACAACGAGUGCUUUUUCUCAUUUUAUCGAAGAAGGCGUCAAACCUAAUUAUAUUGUUCUAUUAUUCCGAGAAAGUGUAAAUUUGGAACGAAUCGAUGUCAAAGCUCACAAGAACAAAAACCGGAACAAUAUUGGACUACUCAGUUGCGCCCUAACAGUAUAACUUUGCAACGAGUGCUUUUUCCCAUUUUAUCGAAGAAAGCGUAAAUGCUAAUUAUAUUGUUCUAUUAUGCCCAGAGAGUGUAAAUUUGGAACGAACCGAUGUCAGCGCUCACAAGAACAAAAACCGGAACAACAUUAGACUAAUCAGUUGCGCCCGAACAGUAUAAUUUUGCAACGAGUGAUUUUUCUCAUUUUAUCGAAGAAAGCGUCAAACCUAAUUAUAUUGUUCUAUUAUGCCCAGAGAGUGUAAAUUUGGAACGAAUCGAUGUCAACGCUCACAUGAACAAAAAUCGGGACAACAUUAGACUACUGAGUUGCGCCCUAACAGUAUAAAUUUGCAACGAGACCUUUUUCUCAUUUUAUCGAAGAAAGCAUCAAACCUAAUUAUAUUGUUCUAUUAUGCCCAGACAGUGUAAUUUUGGAACGAAUCGAUGUCAACGCUCACAAGAAUAAAAACCGGAACAAC
rnacentral:lncRNA from 1 species